rnacentral:rRNA from 1 species
AACGAACGCUGGCGGCAGGCUUAACACAUGCAAGUCGAACGCCUGGGAGCGAUCCCGGGAGUGGCAGACGGGUGAGUAACACGUGGGAACAUACCCUUUGGUUCGGAACAACUCUGGGAAACUAGAGCUAAAUACCGGAUAAGCCUCUGGAGCGAUUUGGGGGGAAAGUUGAUCUGCCUGAGGAUUGGCCCGCGUCCGAUUAGCUCGUUGGUGGGGUAACGGCUCACCAAGGCUUCGAUCGGUAGCUGGUCUGAGAGGAUGGCCAGCCACA